rnacentral:lncRNA from 1 species
AGGGUGGGAGCUGCUGGGGGGCGGCUGAGGGGCCUAGGGCGUCGUCAGCGGGAGGCGGGCUGGCGCAAGGAAGCGGCCGUUUAACGGUCGCCCGAAGGGGCGGCUCGCUCAGGGGUGUGAAGAGGCGCUGUGCGGCCCGGAGCGGGGCYGUUGGCGGCCGGCGAUGCCCUGGUGGAGCUGAGUGAGGGGCUUGGCCGGUGCCUGCCGGAGCUGAAAUGUGAAAUAACGGUCUGCGGAGGGGAAUUAGGUUUCUGCCUUUUUAAUUUUGCUAGGUAUCAAAUAAACUGUUUGUAUAGAUGCAGUCUGGGGAAGUGGAAACCUCCAUUUCAGUGGCAGAAAUCUCUUAAAACCACAUUGAAAAGGUUUUGAAAGAUCCC